rnacentral:rRNA from 1 species
GGGUGCGAUCAUAACAGCACUAAUGCACCGGAUCCCAUCAGAACUCCGCAGUAAGCGUGCUUGGGCGAGAGUUGUACUAGGAUGGGUGACCUCCUUGGUAGUCCUCGUCUUGCACCCC